rnacentral:misc_RNA from 1 species
UGUUGUUUUUGUAAUCUGUUUGUUUCAUUUGCUGCUCUUUGCAUCUUCCACCAAAUUUUAGAUGAUAGCUUUAACCUAGUGAAUUGUUGUUGUUGUUUUUGUGACACUAAUUUUUUUUUCUUUUUUUUGGUUCUUUUCCUUUGCAUACAUUUCCCAAUUCUCUACAUGCAGCUUUCAUCUUUGAAAGCCUCUCAUCCAAAUUUCUUAAAUAGCAUUUGGGAUGAGAACCACCUACAUCUAGGACACUUGCACUACAUGCCACCUCUUCCUACAAUGGUGCCCUUGUAAAAUUACAAGCCAAAAUUAAAGAAAAAUAUUAAUAAUAUGGGAAAAAGAAAAAAGAAAACUACAGCUGCCUACACUUUACAGAAGCCCCUUUGAAUGAAGUAUUACUUGAAAAGAACCUAAUCCCCAUUCGAUUCAACCAUGAUGCUUUCAUCUCUCCAGAGCCCGUGCACUGACCCUCGCCUUCCUCUUCACUGCUAAAGAGGGUUUGGUCCGAGCAGUCGAGUGAUGCUCCACACGCUAAAUUAUACGACUGACAUGCUGAAUGGCAUACCCGAAGCCUGUCA